rnacentral:sRNA from 1 species
AAGAAAGUGACUGCAGCCCCGCACAGGGGCAACGCUUAUAGACCAAUAAGAAAACAAGUUUCACGAAAAAAGUCCAAGCAAACAAAAAACAACCUAAACCGCCACAU